rnacentral:ncRNA from 1 species
CACCUAAAGAAGAGGAAGAGUGGGAUAAGUGAUGAAAUGCUUGAAGGAGUUGAAAAGAGACAUAGAUACAAGACUUCCCAGAUGGGUAAACGUUUUGGAUAUUUGUUGAAUCCAAAGGCAAGGGACAACUUGGCAAACUAAAACAUUGUAGUAACCAAAAGAAAGGGAAAGCAAAAUCAAUUCCCACAAUAGUGGCAAGUAAAAUGGGGGCAACCUAAAUCGUGAAAGACAAGGUACUACUAGGUAAUGGAGAUUAAUCUUCCUCAAUAGAUGGAAAAAUCCUAGUAGCUAAGAGCAUUAUUGGCUUAUUCUCCCUCCUAAGGAGCAUAAGGCACAUGGAAUUUUAUGUGAAUCAACAAUGACCACAAUGAAAUGAUAAAUACUCCUAGGUG